UGUAAGUACACAGCAAAUGAUUUAAAACUUGCAGGGGGGCUCCGCGCAAAACUUUGAUUCUGUUGUUUUCACGAUUAAUCUUUUCAACUGGAAUCGCUGCGGGGCUAGGAAAAGCACUACAGGGAAAUUGUGCAAAUAUGAUCGGGUUCCUCUUGGUCUGGUCAAAAUAUGCAAUAUGUUAUUUGGAUUUUUUUUUUUUUACUAGCAGAAUUUCACUCUCUUUGAAUAUUCAUUGAGAAGACUCAACUUCUAGUAAAACAUUAAAUUAGCAUCUUAAUCGGGGGACCAGCCCGGGAACGUCUUCCAUUGCGCCUGUCUUGAGGUCAUUAAAUUUCAUUGGGAUUAUUUGUCUACCAGGAAAACAACCCGCAGACUUGAUAUUCUGCUGCAUUAGCUGAGAUUUCUGAAGUUUGCGAUUUAGCAGUGGCUGGCUGCAUCUCUGAAAUGGUGCAGGCUAAUAGCUGAGACAUACUGCAGACUUCGCGGGCAGGGGCAGGCAGAACUGGUGGAGGCACAGCUCAGCACUGGAGAGCUGUGUCCUCAGGCAGAAGAGCACUCCUGGAUGGGUACCCAUCCCUACAUCUCCCUUAAAGGGAAAUGUGCAGGUGACUUCCCCCUCCCCCACCACCCGCUUAAGUAGUGUUCUCUAGUGGUUGAAUUUUCAACUUCAUGUAUUUGUGAUUGAUUGUCUUAGUGCUGAGUUCAUUGAUUCGAGGAACAUUUGUUAUGGUCUCGUUGCUUAAUUUAAAUAUCAUCCAAAAUACCCUGGCCCAACUCUUUCGUCAGCUUGCCAUUGGAAAUAGGAAAAGUUUUAAAAGUUUAUAUUUGGUUUAGAUUCUUUAGAUAGAAGAAUUUCCUCUUUUUAUGUAUGAUAAAAACAGCCAAGCAAACACACAACUUUCUAUUUCUUUCUCUGCUUUACAAGAAAGGGUUAUAAGUCCUGCUCAGGAAUGGAUGGGACCUGCCUUACUGACAGCUUUAGGUUUGAGAGACAAGACAUUGGUAACUCUCUUUGCCAUAGACCCUCUUUUGCCUUAACUGUAGAGUCCUCACGAGGGAAAGGCACAGGGAACUCACUGCCACGAGCUCGUGUCCACCCACUGAUGAUUUUUCAGGAGCUCAUUUAAUGUCAGAAUUUACCUGCCACUCUGCAAAGGCAAAGGAGAGAACUUCACUCCUAGGCUGGACUGUGCUUCCCAUUCAAUUUCAAAUCGAAUGUGUGGGAAUCCCAUUAAAUCAGUAAAAUAUGUAUAGUUUCACCUAGCCAAAAUCUUAGAGGGUCCUGUGGGUGAUGGCCUUGACAAGCGCUGUAGCAAAUAAACAAACAAGGAUGAUACACAGCAGACCUGAACCCACCUACCCGCUCAGUUGAAGUUCUGUGGCAAAGGUGUAAUUCCUUCUGCAGCUGCAGGGGUUCAUCAGAGAGGGAGCACUAGAGGUCACUGUUGCGAUGCGAAGCACACAAGCUCUUCCCUUGAGUUGGGCAGAGCUUCAUGCUGGCCUAACCCAGUUUGUCUUCCCUAUGCCUUGCCUGCACAUCUUUUUGCAGUUUAUUAAUAUGAAUAAUUGGGCUGUGAGCUGCGGAUGUUUGUUUGCUCGCUUGCAAUGUGGUACAGAGUGUCACCGGAAGAUCCAUAUUAAAAGGCUUCCCUUCCUCGUUCAUCUCAGCCAGGGAAAAAGUGAGCAGCUGAGAUUUGAGGAGAAGCCAGUGCUCAUGUCUGCUUAGCUCUGCCUGGGCCUCCCACGGGUGCCGUUUCAACCUUGGAUCUGUAUCCAUCGGGGUUCGAUUUCUCUAUGAAGUCAUUGGAUAAAUGUGGAGAGCCUAGAACUGAAGUGAACAAGAACACUUAAACAUUAAACUUGGAAUUCUUAGUUAGCAGACCUAUUUAAGAGUUAACUUUUCUUCAAGUGUCCAAAUUUAUAAUUCAAUGGCUUCCGAAAAUUAAGGUGACUUUUAGUUAAUUUCUUAUUGGCAUUUUGACAAUGUGACAUGCAAACGUAGAACAAAAGAUUUCAUUUCCUAAUUUUUACAUUAUUCCUCACUCUUUACAUUUUGGAGGAGUCAAGGUUCACUUGUUGCUGGGUUGGGAUAGAAAAAUGUAUGCUACCAUGGUAUCAGUUUUGGAAGACGGAGCAAUGUAUUAUGAGUUUAUGAACAGGGGUGCGCGUUAACCAAAGGGCAGGCAACUGGAAUCAGCACAAGCAUUUCAAAGUUGCCUUAUGAGACUUCCCCAAACUCUCCUGAACCAGAUUGUUUAUUAAUAAGAAGUGAAUCAAUCUCAAAUCCCACAAGUAAAGUCGGGGGAACUGCAUAUAAGCAAAAGAAAAUUAAAGACCUGCCUCUCAGGUGAAUGUAAACACCUUUCUUCUUUAUUUACAAGUGACUCACAAGGAGAAAAAUCUGUCAUCCACUGAGUUGGCCUUUGGGUAACAAUAAGAACAUUUGCCUAGGGGACUCUGUAAACCUGGGAUUAGGUGAACUCUAAUUUGAAUAUUAAUUGAUCUACUUAAUCAUCUGAGAAAUUUGCAUUAGAAAGAUUCCAUGCAAAUACAGCCACCCUCUCUCCUCCCCACUCUUACAUAUGCAUGGGGGUGCAUGCACACACGUGCAUGCACACACACACACACUUAUGUGUAAGUACACAUUACUAAUUCAUGUGCCAGUAACACUCUAUGACUCUAGUUAGUACCUAUAUAUUUAAAAAGAAAUAUAUUGAGUGGGUUAUAUUCUUUGUUUCUGGUGUUCCAUAUGACAUUUCAAAGUUGGAAACCAGCCCUAAGAUUUUAGCCUAUGUCCAGGUCGAGAUAAGUUUGUUAUUACAUUGAGUCAUCCUUCUGUGCAAACACAGUGGCAGGCAUCCUUGCUCAUGGGCUUGCUGUUUGAGAGGCUGUGCUCCUGCAUCUCUCUGGUUUCUUCACUUCCUUCUAAGACAGAGGUACUAGAACAAGGGAAAGAUGAUUUAUUUAUUCUACACUUGUUCUUAAGAAGCUACAAAUUCUAAAUGCCAAGAUAGUUUUGGGAGGCUGACUGGCCCUAUAAGAAGGGUGGGGUAUAACUAGUAAGCCUGGGGAGGGUUUUGUUUUGGUUUCAUUCUUAGGGAUCACAUGACAGAAGACACGCUGAACCUCUCUCUGAGAAUAAUUAAUGCCCACCAAGUAGCUCACUAAUGACUGAGUUAGAAGUCAGCUUCUGACUGCGUUCUUUCUUUCCUUUAGUUGAAAUCAGGGCUAUGUCUGCUAUCUACUUCAAAGGAAGUACCAAGAAUAUGAUAUAAUCAGUAAUAGAGAAAAAUAGCUGCCCUUGUAGAAAGCCAUUUUUACCAAUUCUCGGGUACAACCCAGAUACAACUGGACAGAUCCUCAAGUGCCUAAAAUUCAGUGUCAUGGUUCUUUCUGAAAGCUUCUUUUUGUAAUCUUCCCUCCUCCAGAUAUUCUGUAGUAAAAUAAUGAAAUAACUACAAUGUAAUAACAAAAUACUGAUGGAUAUGAUCCAUGACACCAUGUGUCAAUGGCUGGCCCUUGGAAGUGCAGGUCAGUGGGCUGUCUGACUCACUCCUAGUAUCAUCUACUGUUAUCCACUUGACGCCUUCUCUCCACUCAUUGCGUCUGCUCUGGAUAAUUUCUGAUCCUUUUGCACAUGGUUAACAUAGCUUAUGAGCCAACAUGGAGGCCAAACAUGACUUCUACAUGAUUCCUAGUCCUUAAUUAAAGUAAUAAAUAUCAUUAUAAUCUCCUGAAAUUAGUCUGGGAAUUCAUGUCACAUUAAAACAAUAAAAGACCAUCAGUAGACUUUUUUUUCUUCAAUAAAAAUAGAUCAGUGGAAUUGCAUGUGGUCAUUGGAAAGGGGUUGUAAUAUUUACUCAGGUGUUGGCAGAAUAUGGCCCAUGGGACACAUCUGCCCUUACACCUGUCUUUAUGUGGACUAUGAACUAACAGUGGGUUUGCAUCUUUACCUGAAAAAAAAAAAAAACAAAUUUAAGUGAUUUUUUUUUGUGGCAGAAAAUGACAGUGUGAAAUUUGAAUUUUUGUCACCUGUCUCACUUAUGCAACAGCAUGAGCAAGAUUUGUAUUUACAUAUUAUUAUAUUUUGAAUUUGAUUGGUAAGAUUUUGUUAGAAUUGUCUUUAUUCUUGCUUUAUAAGUAUCUAUGUAAUAUUCUGUAUUGUCUAUCUGCCCCUUUGUAAAAAAAACCCAAAAAACAAAACAAAAAACCUCCAUUGACCUCUGAUGUGUGAUGUAUGGUGCAAUGAUGAACUAUAGGUGUGCAUAGAUUAUAUUAAUUGAUUAAAAAUGUUCUUAUGUCAUUAAUUACACACAUACUGAAGGAGCUGUUCACCCGACUGGCAAGUAUAUCAGGAGAUCAUAUUUUCCCUGUUUGUUUCUCCUAGAUGACUAUUUUUGAGAAAUCUCAUUUCUACAACUAUGCAAUACCUCCAUUUUAUUAGUAAAUGUCUACAGCACUUUUGGUGGCUAAGGGGGCAUUUUUAAUCUCGAGUAAUUCGAUUAGUAUGCAGUGCUUAAUAAAUAUGUGAGCAAGAAACUCUGUCUCAAAAAACAAAACAAAAAC
rnacentral:lncRNA from 1 species